UGGUUCUGGCAUNGAUGAAGAACGCAGCGAAAUGCGAUAAGUAAUGUGAAUUGCAGAAUUCAGUGAAUCAUCGAAUCUUUGAACGCACAUUGCGCCCUCUGGUAUUCCGGGGGGCAUGCCUGUUCGAGCGUCAUUACAACCCUCAAGCUCUGCUUGGUGUUGGGCAUCACCACCCAGGUGUGCCUUAAACUUAGUGGCGGUGCCGUCGGGCUUCAAGCGUAGUACUAUAUCUCGCUCGGGAGUCAGGCGUGAUCCUGCCAUAACUCAUCACUUUCAAGGUUGACCUCGGAUCAGGUAGGGAUACCCGCUGA
rnacentral:misc_RNA from 1 species